AGUGAACGCUGGCGGCGUGCCUAAUACAUGCAAGUCGAACGCGAAAGUCCUUCGGGAUGAGUAAAGUGGCGCACGGGUGAGUAAUACAUGGGAACAUGCCCUUGGAUGGGGAAUAACGUUUGGAAACGAACGCUAAUACCGCAUAAUCUCGCGAGAGUAAAGGUGGCGCCGCAAGGGCUACCGUCCAAGGAUUGGCCCAUGUCCCAUUAGCUAGUUGGCGGGGUAAUGGCCCACCAAGGCAACGAUGGGUAACUGGUCUGAGAGGAUGAUCAGUCACACUGGAACUGAGACGCGGUCCAGACUCCUACGGGAGGCAGCAGUAGGGAAUAUUGCACAAUGGGGGAAACCCUGAUGCAGCAACGCCGCGUGAGUGAAGAAGGCCCUUGGGUUGUAAAGCUCUUUAGCGUGGGAAGAAGGUAGAUAUGGUGAAUAAUCAUGUUUGCUGACGGUACCACGAGAAUAAGCACCGGCUAAUUUCGUGCCAGCCGCCGCUGUAA
rnacentral:rRNA from 1 species